UACGUAGGGUGCAAGCGUUGUCCGGAAUUAUUGGGCGUAAAGAGCUCGUAGGCGGCUUGUCGCGUCGUCUGUGAAAUCCCGCGGCUCAACCGCGGGUCUGCAGUCGAUACGGGCAGGCUAGAGUUCGGUAGGGGAGACUGGAAUUCCUGGUGUAGCGGUGAAAUGCGCAGAUAUCAGGAGGAACACCGGUGGCGAAGGCGGGUCUCUGGGCCGAUACUGACGCUGAGGAGCGAAAGCGUGGGGAGCGAACAGG
rnacentral:rRNA from 1 species